rnacentral:rRNA from 1 species
GACGAACGCUGGCGGCGUGCUUAACACAUGCAAGUCGAACGGAAAGGCCCUGCUUUUGUGGGGUGCUCGAGUGGCGAACGGGUGAGUAACACGUGAGUAACCUGCCCUUGACUUUGGGAUAACUUCAGGAAACUGGGGCUAAUACCGGAUAGGAGCUCCUGCUGCAUGGUGUGGGUUGGAAAGUUUCGGCGGUUGGGGAUGGACUCGCGGCUUAUCCGCUUGUUGGUGGGGUAGUGGCUUACCAAGGCUUUGACGGGUAGCCGGCCUGAGAGGGUGACCGGCCACAUUGGGACUGAGAUACGGCCCAGACUCCUACGGGAGGCAGCAGUGGGGAAUAUUGCACAAUGGGCGGAAGCCUGAUGCAGCAACGCCGCGUGCGGGAUGACGGCCUUCGGGUUGUAAACCGCUUUCGCCUGUGACGAAGCGUGAGUGACGGUAAUGGGUAAAGAAGCACCGGCUAACUACGUG